rnacentral:rRNA from 1 species
CUAAGAAUAUUCCGCAAUGGACGGAAGUCUGACGGAGCGACGCCGCGUGGAUGACGAAGGCCGAAAGGUUGUAAAGUUCUUUUGCUGGGGAAGAAUAACCGCAGGAGGGAAUGCCUGUGGGAUGACAAGAACCGGCGAAUAAGCCCCGGCCAACUACGUGCCAGCAGCCGCGGUAACACGUAGGGGGGCCGAGCGUUGUUCGGAAUUACUGGGCGUAAAGGGCAUGUAGGCGGCUUGGAAAGCCUGGCGUGAAAGUCUGCAGCUUAACUGCAGGGGUGCGCUGGGAACUGCUGAGCUUGAGUGACGGAGAGGGAGCUGGAAUUCCUGGUGUAGGGGUGAAAUCUGUAGAUAUCAGGAAGAACACCGAUGGCGAAGGCAAGCUCCUGGCCGAUGACUGACGCUGAGGUGCGAAGGUGUGGGGAUCAAACAGGAUUAGAUACCCUGGUAGUCCACACAGUCAACGAUGUGCACUAGGUGCUGGGGCGGUAGCUUCGGUGCCGGNGCGAACGUGGUAAGUGCACCGCCUGGGGAGUAUGCUCGCAAGGGUGAAACUC